AACAGCUCAAAUUUGAAAUCUGGCCUUCGGGUCCGAGUUGUAAUUUGUAGAGGAUGCUUUUGGCGCGGUGCCUUCCGAGUUCCCUGGAACGGGACGCCUUAGAGGGUGAGAGCCCCGUACGGUUGGACACCAAGCCUCUGUAAAGCUCCUUCGACGAGUCGAGUAGUUUGGGAAUGCUGCUCUAAAUGGGAGGUAAAUUUCUUCUAAAGCUAAAUACCGGCCAGAGACCGAUAGCGCACAAGUAGAGUGAUCGAAAGAUGAAAAGCACUUUGAAAAGAGGGUUAAAUAGCACGUGAAAUUGUUGAAAGGGAAGCGUUUACGACCAGACCUUUUCCUAGCGGAUCAUCCGGUGUUCUCACCGGUGCACUUCGCUAGGUUGAGGCCAGCAUCGGUUUCUGUAGGGGGAUAAAAGCUUGGGGAACGUAGCUCCCUCGGGAGUGUUAUAGCCCCAAGCAUAAUACCCUUACAGGGACCGAGGACCGCGCUUAGGCAAGGAUGCUGGCAUAAUGGUCGUCAACGACCCGUCUUGAAACACGGACCAAGGAGUCGAACAUUUGUGCAAGUGUUUGGGUGUUAAACCCUCACGCGUAAUGAAAGUGAACGGAGGUGAGAGCCCUUACGGGUGCAUCAUCGACCGAUCCUGAUGUUUUCGGAUGGAUUUGAGUAAGAGCAUAACUGUUCGGACCCGAAAGAUGGUGAACUAUGCGUGGAUAGGGUGAAGCCAGAGGAAACUCUGGUGGAGGCUCGCAGCGGUUCUGACGUGCAAAUCGAUCGUCAAAUCUGCGCAUGGGGGCGAAAGACUUAUCGAACCAUCUAGUAGCUGGUUACCGCCGAAGUUUCCCUCAGGAUAGCAGUGUUGAUCUUCAGUUUUAUGAGGUAAAGCGAAUGAUUAGGGACUCGGGGGCGCUUUUUUGCCUUCAUCCAUUCUCAAACUUUAAAUAUGUAAGAAGCCCUUGUUACUUAAUUGAACGUGGGCAUUCGAAUGUACCAACACUAGUGGGCCAUUUUUGGUAAGCAGAACUGGCGAUGCGGGAUGAACCGAACGCGGGGUUAAGGUGCCGGAGUGGACGCUCAUCAGACACCACAAAAGGUGUUAGCACAUUUAGACAAUAGGACGGUGGCCAUGGAAGUCGGAAUCCGCUAAGGACUGUGUAACAACUCACCUAUCGAAUGUGCUAGCCCUGAAAAUGGAUGGCGCUCAAGCGUCCCACCCAUACCCCGCCCUCA
rnacentral:rRNA from 1 species